rnacentral:rRNA from 1 species
CUACGGGUCGCUGCAGUAGGGAAUUUUGCGCAAUGGGGGAAACCCUGACGCAGCGACGCCGCGUGAGUGAAGAAGGCCUUCGGGUUGUAAAGCUCUGUCAGAAGGGACGAAUAAUCGGGGUCUAAUAGGCCUUCGAGAUGACGGUACCUUCAGAGGAAGCACCGGCUAACUCUGUGCCAGCAGCCGCGGUAAUACAGAGGGUGCAAGCGUUAUUCGGAAUUACUGGGCGUAAAGCGCAUGUAGGUGGAAUAUCAAGUCAGAUGUGAAAUCCCGGAGCUCAACUUCGGAAUUGCAUUUGAAACUGGUAUUCUUGAGUUUGGAAGAGGAAGGCGGAAUUCCAGGUGUAGAGGUGAAAUUCGUAGAUAUCUGGAGGAACAUCGGAGGCGAAGGCGGCUUUCUGGUCCAAUACUGACACUGAGAUGCGAAAGCGUGGGUAGCAAACAGGAUUAGAUACCCCGGUAGUC